UCCGGGCGGGCUGCGCGCUGCUAUUCGCCAGGAGUCUGGCCCCAGCCUCCGCCCCGCCCGGGCCCCGCCGCCGCCCGAGGUCUCUGGGAAAGAGAUCAAAAGCUAGAAGAGACUGCCAGAGCAGAGCAGAGACUGGAGGUUUGAGACGCAAAACUGGAAAAGGCUGGGAAUAUGAAGAUGGAGAAUUAAUGCCUAGACCCUUCAUCCUCACUGAAACUUGUGUUUUCAGAGACUCCCUUCCCACCCUCCGUGUGCCAAAAUAGUGUGUCACCCGCUCGGCUUAAGAGAGUUCCUGUCUUGGAAACCCCCAAGUGCCAUUUUCCUUAGCAGGUCUGUCCUCAUGUGACUCCCUAAAAGAAGGGUGACUCGGGGACGGUUACUCCUCCCUGAAAAACCAGUGCCCUUCCACACCAUCCUAGCUCCGCAGUACUGACAUUCCCGUGGAGCUAGGGUUAAUGAAAAUAGAAACAUAACAAUGCCAUUUCCAUUCAUUGAUGACUUUAACUGACCUAGUUUAUUAGAGGCAGGCAAUUUGUCACUUAGUUAGGAAAACAGUACCAAAUGGAGACUAAAAAGGAGUCUUCACCGCGGGAGCCAGAUGUCUUCAUUCACAUCAAGUUCCAUAAGCAAGGCCAAUGUGCCUCAGUGCUCUAUUAAAUGAAAAUAAAAAUGAUACACGCUA